AAUACUACAGCAUGGAAUAACAAAAUUGAACAAGUCAGAAUUUUGUUCUUUUUUCUUAUUUUGGCUUAGUUACGAUUAAUAGGAGUAGCUUGGGGGCAUUUGUAUUCAGAUGUCAGAGGUGAAAUUCUUAGAUUUUCUGGAGACAAGCAACUGCGAAAGCAUUUGCCUAAAAUACUUCCAUUAAUCAAGAACGAAAGUUAAGGGAGUGAAGACGAUCAGAUACCGUCGUAAUCUUAACCAUAAACUAUGCCGACUAGGUGUUGGAUGAUAGAGUAAAAAAUAAAAGAGACAUUCAUAUAUAUGAGUGUUUCUUUUAGAUAGCUUCCUUCAGUACCUUAUGAGAAAUCAAAGUCUUUGGGUUCUGGGGCGAGUAUUCGCGCAAGCGAGAAAGUUAAAAGAAUUGACGGAAGGGCACCACCAGGCGUGGAGCUUGCGGCUUAAUUUGACUCAACACGGGGAAACUCACUAGUUUAAGACAAGAGUAGGAUUGACAGAUUAAUAGCUCUUUCUUGAUUUCUUGUAUGGUGAUGCAUGGCCGUUUUUAGUUCGUGAAUAUGAUUUGUCUGGUUAAUUCCGAUAACGAACGAGAUCUUAACCUGCUAAUUAGCGGUAAAUACACUAUAUUCUUAAGUGAAAUUAGAAUAUAGAUAAAUUGUGCUAAUUUUGAUUAAAAUAUUAGAAUGUUUUUUUUGAUAAAA
rnacentral:rRNA from 1 species